GCGCUAGCGUGCCGGCUAGGGAAUUCUGGGACUUGGAGUCCAGGCAUCUUCAAAUUGCCAAAGUUAAGAAUCUCUGCUUUAACAGGUUGCCUUUUCUGUCCAGCCGGUCGGCCUAUUUCUGGACGGAGGGAGUUAUUCGUAGAAAAUAAGAUGCCGACAAGUUCUAUAAGAAGUCACCUUGCAAAGUUAUCUGAAAUGAGUUUGAACCUGUUGGUCUAAAGCAAUGUCUUAUUGAUAAACAACAGGAAGGCAACAGUGGCAUGGAAUGGUUAACUAUUCUCUGACAAGUUCUUUUCCGUUUGGAAGAAAAAGCUGCAAUUUGGAGGCACUGAACUGGAGCAGAAAAAAG